GGAUGUGAGGGCGAUCUGGCUGCGACAUCUGUCACCCCAUUGAUCGCCAGGGUUGAUUCGGCUGAUCUGGCUGGCUAGGCGGGUGUCCCCCUCCUCCCUCACCGAUCCAUGUGCGUCCCUCCCAAAGCUGCGCACUCGGUCGAAGAGGACGACCUUCCCCCCCGAGGAGAGGACCGGUCUUCGGUCAAGGGUAUACGAGUAGCUGCGCUCCUCUGCUAGAACCUCCAAACAAGCUCUCAAAAUAGAGUUGGGUCUCCCCAAGACUUUUGGGAUUCAGAUCCCCAAAAUAUAAUUUCUGAGCCACCAGUAAAU
rnacentral:snRNA from 1 species